rnacentral:rRNA from 1 species
GACGAACGCUGGCGGCGUGCUUAACACAUGCAAGUCGAACGAUGAUGCUGGAGCUUGCUCCAGUUGAUUAGUGGCGAACGGGUGAGUAACACGUGAGCAAUCUGCCCUUGACUCUGGGAUAACUGCGGGAAACUGUAGCUAAUACCGGAUACUUUCACCGGAAGGCAUCUUCUGGUGAUGAAAGAAUUUCGGUCAGGGAUGAGCUCGCGGCCUAUCAGCUUGUUGGUGAGGUAACGGCUCACCAAGGCGACGACGGGUAACCGGCCUGAGAGGGUGACCGGUCACACUGGGACUGAGACACGGCCCGGACUCCUACGGGAGGCAGCAGUGGGGAAUAUUGCACAAUGGGCGCAAGCCUGAUGCAGCAACGCCGCGUGAGGGAUGAAGGCCUUCGGGUUGUAAACCUCUUUUAGCAGGGAAGAAGCGAAAGUGACGGUACCUGCAGAAAAAGCACCGGCUAACUACGUGCCAGCAGCCGCGGUAA